CCGGGCGCGUAAACGCUCAACUAUGGCGUUGUGCAGCUGUGGCACUGUGGAGCUCCUCGAGCUGGCCACCACCGGCCCGUUGCUGACCCCACCGGGCAUAGCUCCUAAACCAACACCCAACAUGGUGAAAGCAUAGUGGACAUAUUGGACAAAGGACAUUGAAGAUGGAGCUGCUGGGGAGGAGGAAACAAGGAAGAAGACAGAGAAGGUUCACGGAAGCAGUGAAAGAGGACAUGCAGGCGGUUGGUGUGAUAGCAGAGAUAAGAUUUGGAUGUAACCGACUUUGUUCCUGCAUUGAAAUAAUUGGCCUGCCAUCAUGCCUGACAGCUUUUAAAUAUAGUUUGGGCUCAUGUUUAAUAGAAACCCAGGCAACAGUCAUGUACGGUU